rnacentral:rRNA from 1 species
AACGAACGCUGGCGGCAUGCCUAACACAUGCAAGUCGAACGAGACCUUCGGGUCUAGUGGCGCACGGGUGCGUAACGCGUGGGAACCUGCCCUUAGGUUCGGAAUAACUCCCCGAAAGGGGUGCUAAUACCGGAUAAUGUCUUCGGACCAAAGAUUUAUCGCCUUUGGAUGGGCCCGCGUUGGAUUAGCUAGUUGGUAGGGUAAAAGCCUACCAAGGCGACGAUCCAUAGCUGGUCUGAGAGGAUGAUCAUCCACACUGGGACUGAGACACGGUCCAGACUCCUACGGGAGGCAGCAGUGGGGAAUAUUGGACAAUGGGCGAAAGCCUGAUCCAGCAAUGCCGCGUGAGUGAUGAAGGCCUUAGGGUUGUAAAGCUCUUUUACCCGGGAUGAUAAUGACAGUACCGGGAGAAUAAGCUCCGGCUAACUCCGUG